rnacentral:lncRNA from 13 species
UUAUUGCAUUCAUUAAAUUAUAUUACUUUCCACAAAGAACAGUGUGCUGUAGAAUAGUUGUCAGUUUAAGUGUUUUGUAAAACUAACUGAAAAGUCCCACAUGGGACUUCAUAAUUUUCUUCUAUAGAGCUCAGAUAUAAGUGCAGACUGUUCUUCUGAAAACUUGCAGAGACUGAAGACAGAGCUUCUGCUGAAUGGGAAGAAAGCUUCUUCCAGAAAAUUGCACAGAUCCAGCAAGAGCAGAUAACCAAGGCUACUUUCACACUUCAGCCAAGGAUCCUGACUGGCAGAUCUUACACAGUUCCUCUGCUAGACCUGUGAGCUCCUGAAUCACCAGGUGGAGGCCAGACAGAUAAUUCUGCAUCAUUUCAUGCCUGAGACCUCAAACAUGGUGUGGCAGAAGAAUUCUGGAGACUGUGUGAAGCUUUGCUGAGAGGUGACUGGAAAGACACGUGAAUUAACAGUAUGUGGCAGGAGGUGAAGAGUAGAUGCACUUUGAAAUUAAUUACCAGCAUUAUUAUUUUGAUCAGCCAUUAAACUGAAACAUAUGUAAGAAAAAUGAAGUCUUUAGAAGAAAAAAGAUGUUGCUGAUAGAAGACCAAAGAAAUUUGCCUUUCUUGUUUGAAUUACUUAGUGAGGACUGCAGAACACUGUACUGCUGCUGCCAAGUUCUGCACUCAAAGCCUGGUCUAACAAAGAAGGCAUAUGCUGAUUUAAGAUGGGUCAACAAACCAGAAUGUCUCCCUGAAUGGAUUUUACAUUAUUUAACGGAAGCAUCAAGUCUCCACCCUAUUGAGUUAAGGAAGAGCUAA